ensembl:lncRNA
UUCGGACAGCCUUCGUCGCGUCGCCGUGACAUCAUUGCCUCCAAAUGUGGCAUUGGCGCAUCCUUCCCCUGAAUUCGGACACAACUAACUCUCAAAUUCGCGGAGAGGGAGAUGACCUUUUCUACGGCAACAGUUUUGAACAAGCCAUACUAAUCCAGUGUUUUCUGAAAAAAAAAGCUGCACCCUUUUUGGAAACAAAGCCAUUAACAUGUCGAAGAGGUUAACACGUGAGGAGCAGAUCGAAAUUGUGUCGAUAUCUGGUGAACGCAGUAACCGGGUCAUCGCAGCAGAUUUCAAUGCAAGACACCCUACGAG